AUACUCACCUAGCGUAGAGGGAUACCGUGAUCAUGCAGGCGAUUCUCCCAGGGCGAGGCUGCUCCAUUGCACUGCGGAGUGGUUGACCCCUGCGAUUAUUUUUAUCAAUAAAAAAAAUAUAAUAAAAAAUGUAUACCCGAAUAAUUAUUUUCUUUAUAC
rnacentral:snRNA from 9 species